rnacentral:siRNA from 1 species
UAUGCAGAGUGUCACAGGACCA